rnacentral:rRNA from 1 species
GACGUAGGGCGCGAGCGUUGUCCGGAUUUAUUGGGCGUAAAGAGCUCGUAGGCGGUCUGUCGCGUCGGCUGUGAAAUCCCGGAGCUCAACUCCGGGUCUGCAGUCGAUACGGGCAAACUGGAGUACUGCAGGGGAGACUGGAAUUCCUGGUGUAGCGGUGAAAUGCGUAGAUAUCAGGAGGAACACCGGUGGUGUAGACGGCUCUCUGGACCGUAACUGACGCUGAGACACGAAAGCGUGGGUAGCAAACAGG